rnacentral:rRNA from 1 species
UAGGGAAUCUUCGGCAAUGGACGAAAGUCUGACCGAGCAACGCCGCGGGAGUGAAGAAGGUUUUCGGAUCGUAAAACUCUGUUGUUAGAGAAGAACAAGGACGUUAGUAACUGAACGUCCCCUGACGGUAUCUAACCAGAAAGCCACGGCUAACUACGUGCCAGCAGCCGCGGUAAUACGUGGGUGGCAAGCGUUGUCCGGAUUUAUGGGGCGUAAAGCGAGCGCAGGCGGUUUCUUAAGUCUGAUGUGAAAGCCCCCGGCUCAACCGGGGAGGGUGAUUGGAAACUGGGGGACUGGAGUGCAGAAGAGGAGAGUGGAAUUCCAUGUGUAGCGGUGAAAUGCGUAGAUAUAUGGAGGAACACCAGUGGCGAAGGCGGCUCUCGGGUCUGUAACUGACGCUGAGGCUCGAAAGCGUGGGGAGCAAACAGG